UAACAAGUUUAAAAGAUGUCCAAAGUUGCGACCUUUCCCUUCUUCCAACGAAGUCCUCUCUCUCUCCCCUCGUGCGGUUCUCCGCCUCUGCAGUCGGACCUCUUCGCCUGCGCCACUUUGCUUCGAUCCUUCUGCCAUCCUUUCUCCCUGUUGCUCCUCUGUUUUCUGCCGUUCCUCUGCAAAGUUGAUAUUUCCGUCGAUUACGGCCGAGAGAUCGGUUUUCUUAGGACGAAAUCGCAGGAACCGGGCAUGGGGAAGUUCGUGAGGAAGGCCAGGAUCGGCGGAGAAAAGGCGGUCGUGGAGGCCGCACACCCCCAGCCCUCGCUCGGUGCCCACACCAGGGCAAGAACCUUGACGCUCAAGCGCUUCCACGAGUCCUCGCUGCAUGUCGCCUCCUCCUACCUCCAGCUACGAAGCCGCCGUCUCGAGAAGCACUUCCCCGUGCCCUCCUCUGCCAAGUCCAGGGCCGCCAGUAAGAACAGACAGAGAGCUAACCGUAAUACCAGGAUCAGCACCUACAAGCCGGCCGAAACGGAGGUUAACCCGGUGACUUUGGUCUCGCUGGGCUCGGCGUCGACGAGGAGUCGCUGCUCCAAGGAGGCAACGACGGGAGCUAUUUGCGAGGCCUCGCCGGAGGGUGAUGCUGAGAUUGAAGCUUCGUCUGGGGAGAAUGUUCUUGAAUUCGACAGUGGUCAACUAGCAAACACCGUAUGUGGAGAGUUGGAUGAUCAUAUCGUUGCUUUAUCUAGAUAUAAUGUCAGAGGGGAGAAAUCUUACAAAAGCUUACAACCAUGCCAUUAGAAAGAAACCUUAAGAGCUGUAUAUGCUUGCCUCAUACUCUUCCACAGUUAUCACAUGAGAUGAGCUUGGUGAAUUUGUUUUGGCAGAACCUUCAAGUUUCUUUUCUUUUGAUGCGUGCUUGCUUUGUUUUUGUAACAUCGUUGACAAUUUUUUAUGAAAACAAAUCUUAUGUGUUUAUUGGGUGCAGGAGUGCUAGAGAGACCACACCUUGCAGUUUGAUAAGGGAUUCAGAAACCAUAGUAAGUCUUGGUUCAACAACCUGGCCGACCAAGUCCACUGCUAGCAUUAAAAUGCAGGCAUCAGUUGCCAGUUGCAUCCCAACUGCCUUUGAAUUGGAAGAGCUUUUUUCUGGCCCAGAACAACUCCAACAGAGAAGUUUUAUGGAGAAAUUCUGUAGGAUAGCACUUGUGUGAUUGGGAACUUUGAUCUUCCCUAUACAAAUAUCUGCUGCAGUUUUUAAUGGUGCAGGAACACUGGUACAACUUCGAUGUGGUGAAGGAUCAACCACUGCCUGGCCGCUACGAGUGGGUGAAACUGGAUCCUUAGAAGUUCGCCAGUCAAGCAAACUUUCCUUUUGAAGCUCCGCCCAACCUUUUCACAGCAGGGCAAGCUACAGUGGUGGUGUUAGCCACCCUUUAAAAAGAAAAAAACAAACAAUGGCACCAAUACUACCCUUUAGUCUAACCUUCGAUAGAACACCGAGCUUAUCAGCUAAAUCCUGGAUGUAGAAAACCUCAACUUUUGGCGCCUCACGUGACAUUUUGUGGGUGUUCAUGUUGGUAGUUUCUUAGCUUCUCCAAAUGUAUCAUAUCCGAAUGGCCCUUUUGCUGUUUAUGGGGGUGUAUAAGUAGUUGCACCUUCGUUUACAUCUCGUGUAUACGAAGUACUGGUGAGAGCGAAAGUUCUCUUUGGUAAUAAAGUGACCUGGUCCCGUUUUCCCCCUUGCUUUUA